AACGCACAUUGCGCCCGCUAGUAUUCUGGCGGGCACGCCUGUUCGAGCGUCAUUUCACCCCUCCAGCUCCGCUGGGUGUUGGGCCACAGGGUAACCUGGGCCUGAAAAGUAGCGGCGGACGUGUCGUCGUCUGAGCGUAGUAAUUACCUCGCUUCUGAAGACGAUGUGGUACCGCCUAAAACCUUCUCAAGUUGACCUCGGAUCAGACGGGAAUACGCGCUGAACUUAA
rnacentral:misc_RNA from 1 species